UGUUGCUGUGUCUUAUAUCCUCUCGUAGCCAAGUAAAUCUAUUUCCAUUGAGAAUUCCAUGGAGGGUAGUUUCUAGCUGCUUCGGUCGAUGACGUGAUAUCUUGAGAGAUCUGCAUUGAAGACUUUAUUACUUCUCCUACCUGCGGAUCUGGACUUGAAGACAUAAUUGAGAUCUGGCUACCAAACGAGCUGAAUAGUGUUUGGGAGCUUGCUGAAUCUGUUCGCUUGGAGUUUUUGCCUAGCUUCAAAGAAUUCGAUGGAGUCAGGAAAAAGUGCAACAGUUCUAGUUUAUUGGUAAAGAUGGUCUCAAAGUGACCGGCCACUGAGUGGAGGUUGAGAUCAUGCCAUGACAAAGCUUCAGUUUUGGUGAUGGGAGAGUCCAUGUCCAUUAGAGAUUGAAGCUGUAACUGAGAUGGUUGAUGACUGAAGUGUUGUAGUGGAGAUUGUGAGCAACAACAAGUGCAGUUAGCUAAAGAUCUCUUAUGUAUAUUUGAAAGUAAUUACUUGAAAAUGAGCAGCGAUAUGUGCAGAGAGUUGUAUUCCACCUCCUAGAUAAAGAAGCUCUGGCUUCUCUCUAUCUGGUCUUUGUAGGCUUUUAUUCCAAACAACUUUUGUAUAUGAAUACUUGUGAAACUGUCGCCCUGAUAUUUUGAUAACAUGUUUUGUUA